rnacentral:ncRNA from 1 species
UAAUUGAAGAGUUUGAUCAUGGCUCAGAUUGAACGCUGGCGGCAGGCCUAACACAUGCAAGUCGAGCGGUAACAGGAAGAAGCUUGCUUCUUUGCUGACGAGCGGCGGACGGGUGAGUAAUGUAUGGGGAUCUGCCUGACAGAGGGGGAUAACUACUGGAAACGGUAGCUAAUACCGCAUAAUCUCUAAGGAGCAAAGCAGGGGACCUUCGGGCCUUGCGCUGUCGGAUGAACCCAUAUGGGAUUAGCUAGUAGGUGGGGUAAUGGCUCACCUAGGCGACGAUCUCUAGCUGGUCUGAGAGGAUGAUCAGCCACACUGGGACUGAGACACGGCCCAGACUCCUACGGGAGGCAGCAGUGGGGAAUAUUGCACAAUGGGCGCAAGCCUGAUGCAGCCAUGCCGCGUGUAUGAAGAAGGCCUUAGGGUUGUAAAGUACUUUCAGUCGGGAGGAAGGCGUUGAUAUUAAUACUAUCAGCGAUUGACGUUACCGACAGAAGAAGCACCGGCUAACUCCGUGCCAGCAGCCGCGGUAAUACGGGGGGUGCAAGCGUUAAUCGGAAUUACUGGGCGUAAAGCGCACGCAGGCGGUUGAUUAAGUUAGAUGUGAAAUCCCCGGGCUUAACCUGGGAAUGGCAUCUAAAACUGGUCAGCUAGAGUCUUGUAGAGGGGGGUAGAAUUCCA